UUUUUGUUUUUGUUUUUGUUUUUUUUUUACACAAAGAAAACAGUUCCUGGACACCAGACCCACACACAAUAUUUACAAAUUUGGUGUGAAUCCCGCACCUGGGUCUACCCAGAGCCGAAAGAGUAGAUGAUGACAGAGACCAGAAGUGUCAUGAUAUUUCUCAGUGCAGUAAAAAAUAGCAUUUUGAAAAAAAUAUAUACCUUUAGUAUUGCCUUUAUAGAAUUAACUACAAGCAAGAAAAAAAUUAUUUUUUUUUUAAAGAAGAAAAGAACACUUUUUUCCCUCCCUCUUACAAGAGUUAGUUGUAGCAGCACUACGAAAGCUAGCUGGUACACUGGAAAGGAAGAGCCAAAAGAAACACGCUUAAGAGUUUUCUCUAAAAGUCAAACUAAUCCUGCUCCUGCUGCUUGGAUCUGAUGCAAACGCCCCCUUCACACAGACCUUCUGCUGGGUUCCACGCACGGGGCGGGGGUGGUGCAGGGGGACGUUCCUUCGAGGCUUUUCUUCGCACAAACAGCCAAGGAGACAGCCGAGGCUGGCGUCUGCGAGCUCGGUUCUGGAGCUGAGCAGACCCGGGUUCAAGGCCCGGCUCCCCUACUAGCUGUGUGACCCGGGUUACCAGCUUGCGGAGCCAGGCGCCUCACCUGUAAAGGGACUAGUACUGCCGAUGUCACAGGGCUUAUUACAAAGACGGAGUGAAAACAGGAUAAACACGUUUGGCACAUUGGAAGUGGGAGCAUGGUUAAAUAAGUGAAACAAAAUCCUAUUUCAGGAAAGGGUCUGAUUAACAAAAAAUUUCACUAGAACUUGGGGAUUUCGGAUCACUGUUGUAUUUUCUUUCCUUGAACACAGGCUACUUUCUUAGAGGGUCAGUCAACUUGCUCAUCAACUGUAAAGGGGGGUGCUGCAAAUGGGGUGCCUGUGGGCUCCUUGAGGUCACGCUCAUAGAGGGCCAGGUAUGAGCCUGACCUGCUGAAAGCACUGAACAAACGUUGGCUAGGACUCGAGGGACACUGCAAGUUUUAACAAAGAGAUGGUCAACAGAAGGCUCUGAGGCGAGGGCUCUGAGUCUGGGGGUGGGGGUGUCUCAGAGGCGUGGGGGAGUCAGGCUGGGGCAUCACGAAGCUCCUUUCUGGUUCAGGUACCCGGAGCAAGGGCGCCCUCGGGAGGGUCACUGCUCUGUAAGCGCGCACUGAGUCUUGCGGGAGGAACUGGUUUGGAGCUGGCCCUCUCGGACUCCUGGAAGUUGCAAGAACGAUGGGAGAGGCCUCUCCUAGGAUGGCUCACUCCAGGGAGCGAGGGCACCAAGGGCCUUUGAGAGGUCUCGAUUGCAUUUACAUGUCAUUUCGCCAUCUCCUGUUCUCGGCUGAGUCCAGAGACCAGAAGUGAGUCUAAGGCAUCAAAGCGGAAAUGUACCCACACCCCAAGCCCGGCGCCAGUGUGCAAGUGAACCCCAAAGCACCUCUGGGCAGAAGGUCUGACUCUCCUGGGAAACAUGAGAUGAGCUAAGCCCCCAGAUCCGUGCUGUGCUUCUCAAGAGCAGCAGUAUUUAGGGCGACUGACCUCGACUCCUCUCACAAGAUGAGCUCAGUUUUGAAAGAAAAAAAAGCAACGACAACAAAAACUCCAGACAAAACGAAAAGCCAAGUCAGGAGAGAGGGGAAAGAGAAAGACAAAUGGGAUGGCAUCACUCACUGAUGAAGUCAUUAUUGCCCAGAAAGGAAGCCGUUCUGUCCGCACGUGGGGGUGUCUCCUAGAAGGGUUCUUUGGCUAAAGAAAGGAACACUUGCACUUUCCUUUCCAAUUUGGUAAGGACAGCUCUGGCCUGCUCCAUGCUGAGGCUCCCCCACCUGAAAUCUCUAAGACACACCGGAAAGAGAAGACAAAGCCCGGGAGAGAAGCGCGUACGGGGCCAGGGGCCGGAAUGCUCAUGGCAGCGUCGCUUGGGCUGGCGUUGACAAGUGCCUCUCGGCUGCCCCAGGACACCUAGUUUCCCUCUUCUCUCUGCGUUCUGUCCCAGCAGCUACUCAUCAGGCCAGCAAGAGCCCUCCCCGCAUCCCAUCCUGCCCCCAGCACCAGAGUCCCCAGGCCGAAAGCCGGGGCCAGCCGGUCGACGCCCCUCGUUUCAUCAACCACAGCCCAUCAGCAAUAGUUCCUUAAGCCUCCUCAUCUCCUUCCUCCAGUUUCCAAGAAAGUCUGCUCCCCUCACACACACGCACUCGCACAACCCAAAUCCUCCAGCACAAGCUUGUUCAAAAAUGAGUGUCUGCAAUUCCAAAGCUCUGGUCACGGGAAAAUCCGCCUGUCAGCGGCUGGGCUCAUCUCACCUUCCCUUCCUUCCAUCCAACAAUCUGGUGUUUGGGCGGGUUGAACCUGCCAGGGUGAGGAGGACAAGGCCAGCUGGCCACCACAGCCUGCCGGCCACCCACCGCCAGUAAGGCCAGAACGCAAAUCCAGUCCAGGAGACAACCGUCCGUUUGGCCCCACCCUUCCUUCCCUCUGAACCCCACAAACCACAUGCUCCACUUGACAGUAUUCACUGGCAUCAAGCCUCAGACCCUCCCACCCAUCAGCUGGCUCACCCCUUCCCUUAGAAAUGGCCAAAACAUCACCAAAUAGGCACUAAGCACCUAGACGGCCGCAAAGACCCAGAUGGGUCCGCAAGACCCCACGGAGCAGAAGCCAAUCCACCUGUGGUUUCUGAGGCUCCACUUACGACACUCUCCUGGACCUUCCUUUCUUCCCUCUUAGCCUCAGCCACGUUUCUUCAGUAAAGAAAGACGGAGCUAACUCCAGAGCAGGUGGCCUUCUAGGUUAUCUGUGGUCUAACAAGGACUCCACUGGCAUCCCUCUACUUGAGAGCUGGGUCCUAGGGGCUGGCAGCCCUUUAUCCAUCCUACUUGCCAGGGCGACUCAGAGGACGGGGUGAGAGCACACGCAGAGGCUGGCUUCUCCCACUGGGGUCUUUCCCUAGGGCUUCUGACCCCUCAGCUCUGGGGCUUAGGCUGAGGAGGGGUUGGGGAUGGGGUGCUUGGGGAGGGCGCUAAUGUGGGCUGGCCACUGCCUGAGGUCCCCUUCAUUAACUCCAGGGAAGCCAGUCAUUCCAAAUCUUCCUUCAUCUCAGGCCCUGUAGUUUCUAGGUUUGGGGAGCAGCAUGUGGGCCAUCAAUUUUGGGGGAGCAGCAGCCGGAGUGUCCAAGGAGCUGCUGGACUUGGGUCAGUGUUUCUCUAGCCUCCUACUAUCCCUCCACCAAUUUUUUUUUUUUUUUUUUUUGGCUCCAUAGUUUGUCCCUGGAAUCAUGUGCUGAGAAGAUGGGGUCGGGGUGGGGAAGGGGGCCUGAAGGAGGAGGCAGAGUGGUACCACCUGCCUGGCACCUUCCAUCAGCUCAUUACCUUCAAGGGCUCCUAGGAGGGGAAGUUGUCUCCGCACUGAAGGCUGCGUGCCGCACGCCACACUCCGGCUGUGCUGAUGGGACACGGGGGUGGAGGGGGGGCAGCAUUUGGGAAAGGAGCUGGGUCAGCUUGGGCAGAGGUUUUUGUUUUUUACUUUUUUUGCUGGACAGGUAAAUAGCAGAUUUCAGGCAGGCCCAGGAUCUAGUUGUCAGAUUGCAGAAGCGCAGGGAACGUGGGACGGACCCGCGGCUCAAGGUUCAGCCAGGGACCCCCGAGCCCAUCUUCUCAGGUCUCCUCCCAGGCCACUGAGCACCUAGGAG
rnacentral:lncRNA from 1 species